GAAUUCGAGUUCUAUUAAACACAAACUCUAUAGGUUAAAGACGCUUAGAUAUCUUAUAGUCAAUGAAUUUAACACUGAAACGGGCUUAACGAAUGUUGUAGAUGUGAAGAUGUUGCGAACAUAAUAGCCGGAUUAAUAUAUACUAGCAUCUGAAAAAAUUAUAGAUUGAUGUGAAACACAUAAUUUAACCAAAUACAAGCAACGGGUACAACAAUAGAAAUUCAGUAAACAAUGAGCCCCGGUGACGUAACAAAUAUUAAAUUUUAAAAGACGUUUUAUAUGGCAAACCUUAACCCAAGUAAAAAAUGGAGCAAACUAUACGGAUACGAAAACAAAUAUCCGGCUAGUACUUUCUUUAUACCUGCAAAAUUCGUUCAACCUUGAUAAUUCCAUAGCAAAUCUAAACCAAAAACUCUAAACCAUACACACUAAACCCUAACCCCUAAACCAGAAGACAUAAAUCCUAAACCCUAAACCAUAAACCCUAAAUCUUAAAAUCUAAACCCUAAUCCAGAAGCCGUAAUUCCACAGCAAAAAUUACCCCUACACCGUAAACCCAAAACCAUAAACCCUAAACACUAAAUCAUAAACCCUAAACCCUAGCUGGCAAUAAAUCCUAAACCCUAAACUCCCAUAGCUUAAACCCCCGAAAACAUAAACACUAAACCCUAAACCCUCAUCCAAAAGAGGGACAACCUAAACCCUAAUCCCUACACCCUACCGCAUUUGUGAGUAAACCUAAACCCAAUUAAAAAAAACACAUCAUUGUCUGACACACGAAUUAAAGGAACAUAGUAACGUUAAAAAUUUAUAUAGCCACCCCUUACUGAAAAGGCUACCCCAAGAAGUAUUUAUCCCAACUUAAACCGGUGGACAUGCAGCGCAUACAAAGAAUAUCUCGCCAACAGUGAGUAGCAUAAGGAUACGAAAACACGCAUAAGUAUACAAAGAUAAAUAUCCGGGUAGUACUCUCUUAAUACCUGCAAAUUCGUUGUACUUUUACAAUUCCAUAGCAAAUCUAAACCCAAAAGUCUAAACCCUAAACCCUAAACUCUAAAUUAUAAACCCUAAACACUAACCCCUUAACCCUAGCCCCCUAAACCCUUUUACUAAUAAGAUUUUAUAACAUAAAGUCCGUGGUGAAAUUAUAUAUUGUAAGGGAAGACAAAAUGGUGUAGUAAGUAGAUACCCAAAAUAAGGGUCACUAAACUUGGAAACAAGGAGGGUUAUGUGAAUCUAAUUGAGACAUAUUAGCCGGAUUUGUAUAUCAAUAAAUCGAAAACAAUUUAAUCGACGAAACACACUAACCGGAUUUGCUUAGGCAAACAAAUAGUUCUCAUACAUAAAAUAGUUUAACCCAAUCGUAUCUUAUAUAUUGACUGUAAUUUUUUUUUCAAAACGAGAUACGACAAUCGAAUUCGGGUUCUAUUAAACACAAAUACUAUGGGUUAACGAGGCUUAGAUAUCUUAUAGCCAAUGAAACGCUGAAACGGGCUUAACGAAUGAUGUAGAUGUGAAGAUGUUGCGAACAUAAUAGCCGGAUUAAUAUAUCCAAACAUCUGACAGAAUUAUAGAUUGAUGUGAAACACAUAAUUUAACAAAAAACAAGCAACAGAAACAACAAUAGGCAUUCAGUGAACAAUGAACCCCGGUGACGUAACAAACGGGAAAAUUUAAAAGACGUUUUAUAUGGCAAACCUUAACCCAAGUAAAAAACUGCAGUAAACCAAAAGGAUACGAAAUUAAAUAUCCGACUAGUACUCUCUUUAUACCUGCAAAAUUCGUUCUACCUUGAUGAUUCCAUAGCAAAUCUAAACCAAAAACUCUAAACCAUAAACCCUAUACUCUACAUACAAAAUCCUAAACUCUGAACUUUAAACACUAAACCUUAACCCCUAAACCCUAACCCCUAAACCCCAAACCAGCAGCCAUAAAUC
rnacentral:lncRNA from 1 species